rnacentral:lncRNA from 1 species
GAUGUCUGACCUUUGAAUGUAAAUGAGAAUUCAGGAGGAAUCCUGUAAUUCUUGAAUUUGCUUAAAAUGCAACACACUCUUCUUUACUACAAAACAUUACUGAGGAGGAGACAUAUCCUUCUAUUGAAUGGACAGAGAACAACAGGAGAUUCCCUGUAGUUUCUGAAUAUCAACUUUCUUCACUCGCUGAGGGAUGGAGACCUCUGUAUUACUCCUGCUCNNN